rnacentral:lncRNA from 1 species
ACUUCCUAAGUUGUUCUAUUAAGAUACUGCAAAGCCUUAUAACGCUCUUCUUCCAUAAUUCGGAACAUGGUUCGACAAUCUAGUAUGUACGAGGGUAGCAUCUCGAACUGAAUUGGGUAACCCAUGACCCGAUCCUGAGCUUGAUUGAUCGUGAUGUUGAAUACGUUAUCCAUUUCUUGCAUCUUCAUUCUCUUUUCUUGUGCAUCUCCCUCUGCUAUUUCGGCCCGUUGAUCAGCUUCCUCGUACGCUUCUCCGGCUUUUUCCCUUUUUGUAGACUCUUCUCUUAACUUGCUAUUCAACUCUACAAUCUCUGCUUUCAUUUGGUCGUUCUCUUCUUCAGUGUGAACCAACUUCUCUUCAAUAUUGUUCAAUCGUUCUUCUCAAUCCUG